rnacentral:misc_RNA from 1 species
UAAUACCACACCAAUUAAUUGUCUUCUAAUUAUUGCAAGAUAAUAUAUAAAGUUGGUGAUAUGAAUUUAAAACAAACAUUACAUACCCAAAAUGCCCCCAACAAACUCAUCAAGUACCGAAAAAUUCAAGACUCGUAGCAAAAAGAAGUAAACAAGAUUGUUACAUAUCCAUCGGCACACGUUUAUACAAGUGUGCAGGCAAUCUUGGAGUAGGAAUAGCUUGUAUUGGAUUUUUCAUGUAAGUCACUGUUCCGGGGUUCUCCGUCAAGUCGAUAUCCUUGGGGCUGACACCUGGGGGCGGAGACCACGUAAAAUGAUGCAACAAGUGACCCAACAUAGAAGUGACCAAGUUGAUAGCAAGUUGUGCACCAGGGCAGACACGCCUUCCUGCACCAAAUGGUAGUAGCCGAUAGUCGUGUCCCUUCAUGUCAACGUCUUCCUCAAGGAAGCGUUCUGGUCUGAACUCCAACGGGUCCUUCCACACUGCUGGAUCACGAGCCACAGCCCAAACAUUCACGUGUACAAUGGCUCCCUUGGGAAUGUCAUAACCGCCGAUUUUGACACCGGCACUGGCCUUGUGUGGAAGCAUUAGGGGCGUUGGAGGGUGCAACCUUAAAGCUUCUUUGGCUACACAUUGAAGGUAAGGAAGUCUAGAGAAAUCGGUUUCUGACAUGAUUCGGUCCGAUCCAAUAACCCUGUCAAGUUCCUCUUGAGCCUUUUGUUGCACCCUUGGGUUCCUAACUAGCUCUGCCAUUGCCCAUUCUACUGUUAUCGUUGUCGUGUCCAUUCCUGCUGUGAUCAUAUCCCAUAGGAGGCCGAUAACAGUGUCAUCACUAAGAUCAUACUGCUUCUGAAGAGUAAGCAAGGCAUCGACGAAAUGCUGCUUAGUAUCACCAGUUUGUUUGCGAGCCAAAGUGUGUUCAUCCAUGAUAAUUCUUGUUAACCGGUCUCUACGUUCAGAGUGUUUCACAAGUGCCUCGUUUUCCAUUGAGAAAAACCAACGGAGCCAUGGAACAUACUCUGCCAAGGGAAGUUUUCCACCGAUUUUGAUGCCAUUAGAUACAAUGCCCUUAAAUUCUUGGCCUUGUUCAUCAAUCUCACCUGCUGCAUUCAUGAAUCUUUUACCAAAAGUUAGCCUUGUAAUGUUGUUGAAUGCUACUGAUCCCAAGUACUCUCUCAUCAACAGGCUUUUACCCCUGUUAUCAGGCUUAGUACAGUCAUUGAAAAUACUUUCCACCAUGGCAGUAACUUCGUCUUCUCUAAUAGGCCUAAGAGAUUCAAGUCUUUUAGGAGUAAAAAGUUCGAGAUUACAAAGCUUCCUUACUUUGACAUAAUGAGGACCGUAAUCAGCCCAAAUCAAAUCCAUCCCAUUUCUACUCAAAUUAUUAGCAGGUCUAGUUCUAAAUCGAUCCGCUAAAUUCUGAUCAUUCUCUUUCAAUACUUGUUUCGCUAAUUCAGCUGUAGUUACAACAACGUUCAGCUGUGAACCGAAGUAAACUGAGAAAAUCGGGCCGUAUGUUUGGGCCCAAUCGGCGAAGCAUCGGAAUCUCACUGGUUUAAUGUCGUAGAGGUUUCCGACCACCGGUAACGGCCGUGGACCUGGUGGUAAUUUGAACCGGAGACGGUGGUAGAGUUUAUGAGCUAAGAAAAUUAGGGCUAUUGAAGUUAGAAUAAUUA